rnacentral:rRNA from 1 species
GCAUAUCAAUAAGCGGAGGAAAAGAAACCAACAGGGAUUGCCCUAGUAACGGCGAGUGAAGCGGCAACAGCUCAAAUUUGAAAUCUGGCGCAAGCCCGAGUUGUAAUUUGUAGAGGAUGCUUCAGGGCAGCGGCCGGUCUAAGUUCCUUGGAACAGGACGUCAUAGAGGGUGAGAAUCCCGUAUGCGACCGGUUGGCACCCGUCACGUAGCUCCUUCGACGAGUCGAGUUGUUUGGGAAUGCAGCUCUAAAUGGGAGGUAAAUUUCUUCUAAAGCUAAAUACCGGCCAGAGACCGAUAGCGCACAAGUAGAGUGAUCGAAAGAUGAAAAGCACUUUGGAAAGAGAGUUAAAAAGCACGUGAAAUUGUUGAAAGGGAAGCGCAUGCAACCAGACUUGUCGGCGGUGUUCCGCCGGUCUUCUGACCGGUCCAUUCGCCGCCGGCAGGCCAGCAUCAUCUGGGCGCGCCGGACAAAGGCGUGGGGAAUGUAGCUCCUCGGAGUGUUAUAGCCCCGCGCACAAUACGGCGCCGCCCGGGUGAGGUCCGCGCUUCGGCUAGGAUGCUGGCGUAAUGGUUGUCUGCGGCCCGUCUUGAAACACGGACCAAGGAGUCUAACAUCUAUGCGAGUGUUCGGGUGUCAAACCCCUACGCGUAAUGAAAGUGAACGGAGGUGGGAAGCGCAAGCUGCACCAUCGACCGAUCCUGAUGUCUUCGGAUGGAUUUGAGUAAGAGCAUAGCUGUUGGGACCCGAAAGAUGGUGAACUAUGCCUGAAUAGGGUGAAGCCAGAGGAAACUCUGGUGGAGGCUCGCAGCGGUUCUGACGUGCAAAUCGAUCGUCAAAUUUGGGUAUAGGGGCGAAAGACUAAUCGAACCAUCUAGUAGCUGGUUCC